AUUGAACGCUGGCGGCAGGCCUAACACAUGCAAGUCGAGCGGAUGAAGGGAGCUUGCUCCUGGAUUCAGCGGCGGACGGGUGAGUAAUGCCUAGGAAUCUGCCUGGUAGUGGGGGAUAACGUCCGGAAACGGGCGCUAAUACCGCAUACGUCCUGAGGGAGAAAGUGGGGGAUCUUCGGACCUCACGCUAUCAGAUGAGCCUAGGUCGGAUUAGCUAGUUGGUGGGGUAAAGGCCUACCAAGGCGACGAUCCGUAACCGGUCUGAGAGGAUGAUAAGUCACACUGGAACUGAGACACGGUCCACACUCCUACGGGAGGCAGCAGUGGGGAAUAUUGGACACUGGGCGAAAGCCUGAUCCAGCCAUGCAGCGUGUGUGAAGAAGGUCUUCGGAUUGUAAAGCACUUUAAGUUGGGAGGAAGGGCAGUAAGUUAAUACCUUGCUGUUUUGACGUUACCAACAGAAUAAGCACCGGCUAACUUCGUG
rnacentral:rRNA from 1 species